rnacentral:tRNA from 9 species
CGGGGUGUAGCGCAGCUUGGCAGCGCGCUUCGUUCGGGACGAAGAGGUCGUGGGUUCAAAUCCCGCCACCCCGACCA